rnacentral:sRNA from 1 species
AUGUACUGAGAGCUGUGGAAAAGAGGGAAUAAAAAAACGCCCACAUAAGCGGGCGUUAUUGUUGCUU